rnacentral:rRNA from 1 species
UGGGGAAUAUUGCACAAUGGGCGAAAGCCUGAUGCAGCGACGCCGCGUGAGGGAUGAAGGCCUUCGGGUUGUAAACCUCUUUCAGUAGGGAAGAAGCGAAAGUGACGGUACCUACAGAAGAAGCACCGGCUAACUACGUGCCAGCAGCCGCGGUAAUACGUAGGGUGCGAGCGUUGUCCGGAAUUAUUGGGCGUAAAGAGCUUGUAGGCGGGUUGUCGCGUCUGCCGUGCAAAUCCGGGGCUCAACUCC